CAGGAAGGGCCACUCGGCAAAGAUCUGGUCGCUCCCCCGUCCUGCAGAGAGAGAAAGGUUAAGUGCCUGGCAGCCAGAUGGGCAGCACUGCUAACAGAGAGGGCCCCCUGGCUCCCACAUGGCUCAGGAAAACCCCACCUCCCUGCUCCAAAACAAACCUCACAGCACUGGCUUCCAAGAAGGGGAGGUCCAUCUGCAGGAAACAGAACCUGGUCAGGUGCAAGUCCUUGGAGGCCACGCAGGACAGGGCCUCUCAGGAAGAGAGGUGGGGGCAGCAAGGGACAGACCUCAGGAGAAGAAAGGCUAGAGAAAUGGCCCCCAAAAGCCCCCAAGCAGGGCAGCAGGGCUGAGGCAAGCAGGGCUGAGGAUGGAGGGAGAGGAGGGCAGGGCAGGGCAGGGCAGGUGGCUCAUGCACCGUCUUCUGGGCGCUGUACAUGAGGCUGCGGUACAGCUGAGCAAACUGCCCGUAGGUGAUGUCCCCGCUGCGUUGCUCCAGGUCCUGCAG